CAAAGCCCAGACUGGGCUUAAUAGGAAGCCCAACAUGUUAGAAUGGCUUCAGGAUAGGGGGUAGCUUGGCCAGGGUGGGGGUGUAGUAGAAAUUCUAUAGGCUCAAGGUUUUCUGACCCCAAAAUGCAUCAGCCAAGAGAGGGUAAGUAGUUCAGAACAACUCCAUUCCAUUUUCCUGGUUUACAUCGUGUCUUAGCUUCGCCUGAGGUAUCAUCUCCGUCGCACCAGAAAUCGCCUCUGGCGGCAGCGAAGGUUCAAUCACCAUAAAACCUACCCCAUUCUAGCCAUCUUCAAUCCCUAUAUCCCAUUGUCAUAGUUUUUUCCCUAAAUUCUUAACCAGCUCUUCGAAUCGAAUCAAAUAAUGAACAAACCCUAAAACUACAAACCAAAAUUAAAUGUCUCCAAGGAGCGGAACGGAUUUCAAACCCUAGGGUUUUGAAUCUAUUAUCAUAUCUCUACAUAGAGGCACUAGAAUUUCAAGCAAGGAGGAAGAAUAAUGGUGACUUAGUUGUGAUACUGAGAUUCGUCUCGGUUAUUGUUGUAAUGGAGAACCAUAGAAUUGCUCCUUAGAGGGAAGUAACUUGAAUUCAAAGUUGUCUCCUUUUUUUCCUUCAAAAGUCUAGUCUGUAGGAAACGAAUAUUCUAUGCUUACUUGUUGAUGUUGCUAUGUCGUUUUAUGUGCAUGAGAUUGAUAGAGUUGAGAAGGAUUUGGCGAGUUUGAGAAAUUAAGAGAGAAUCAAUUUGAGCCAAAACCACGGAGAGUUGAGAAUUUUCAGAGAAUUUUUGGUGAAUUGUGAUUGUGACCAUGACUAAACUAUGAUUGAAGAGGAGAGUUGAAUUUAUAGAGAUGGAAGUGUGUAACUGAAUUGGGCAGUUUGUUAACUGUUAGGGCAAGGUUUGCUUGGGCGUGGGAUUGACAUGGUUAGCAUGGUCAUGAAUUUAAUUGGGCAUAAAGCAACUUGAGAAGAUGGAAGAUUGAAGAUUGAAGUAGGAUAGGUUUUAGAAAUUUAAAUUCAAGAGUCAAAUUUGGGUCAAUAGUCAAUAGUUGACCAAAAAGUCAAUUGUUGAACUUUCCUUGUAAUUUCCAUUUUAAACACCUUUUUGUAAUGAUUUCCUCUUGUGGUAAAACUUUGACUUGUAACUUGUAAUCCAAGCAACACCAUUUGUGCAUGAAGUAACUUAUUCCACUUUUGAAUGCUUA